rnacentral:rRNA from 1 species
UUAGUUGGGCACUCUAAAAGAACUGCCAGUGAUAAGCUGGAGGAAGGUGGGGAUGACGUCAAGUCCUCAUGGCCCUUAUGUGUUGGGCUACACACGUGCUACAAUGGUAUUUACAGUGGGAUGCAAAGAGGCAACUCCAAGCCAACUCCCAAAGAAUACCUCAGUUCGGAUUGUACUCUGCAACUCGAGUACAUGAAGCUGGAAUUACUAGUAAUCGCGGAUCAGCGCGCCGCGGUGAAUACGUUCCCGGGUCUUGUACACACCGCCCGUCACACCAUGGAAGUUGGUUACACCUUAAGGCAAAGUGUAAAACCUUUGACUACGGUACGAUCAGCGACUGGGGUGAAGUCGUAACAAGGU